UUGGAGGCCCAGGGAGGAAGGCCCUGCCCCAGGAGCCCCAGCUUCCAUGAAGCAGAGGGCAAGCUCCCGGCGCCCAGCAGGUGGAUUCUUCACCACUGGACCACUGGGGAAGCCCUGCAAGCAGUUUUGCAAGUGGUACUCGGGUGGAGGCUGAAGCAAGGUUGAACUCCUACACCCCAAACGGUUGAAGCCUUUCUGUUUUCCAUGAGAAUGGAUAGCAAAGGAGGUGACGUGAUUUCAGCCACACAUACGAGACACUCCAGUUGCCUCAGCCUGGCCCAGAUGAGACCUCUUCUGAGAGGAGAGGGGAUUUUCCUGAUCCAGGGACCCAACCUGAGUUUCCUGCAUUGCAGAUGGAUUUCUUACAACUGAGUCACUAGAGAAACCUUGGUUACAGAGACUCCCUGAGCACCUACUCUGCACAGAUACUCUUCUAGAUACUGAGGAUAUAGACAGAACAGGACUGAUCAAAGUGGAGCCUGGGAGGAGUGUGCCAGGCCUGUGAGUGAGCAGCCACUUUGUGGCCUUGAGUUCUGUGGGCCCUGUUUGGUCCCCUCUCUCACAUCUACCCAUGCCAGGCAAAGGAGCAGAAUAUAAUCUGGACUCCAGAGUCAGAAUCCAGUCCUGGCUGUGCCUCUUACUCACUGAGUAACAACUUGGCUCAACUCCUAAAUCCUCAGUGUUCUCAUCUGCAAAGUGGGUGUACCAUUAAGAGGGCCAAGGAAGCAACACCUGCCAAGGAUUCAACACUGAAACAGAAGCUUCUUAUGACACAGCAAAUGGCCUUCGUCCACCCACUGCCAUCAUCUGCCACCAUCUCCCACCUUGCUGGGAUGGAAUCUUGCCCUUCCUCCUGACUUCCUGGGCAGGAUGCGGCUUUGCUGACAGUAGCCAAGUCGCCUUCUGGACCCCGGAGGAUGCCGGAGACCUUUCCUGUGAGCCAUUUGCCCCCUGAUGCCGGGGUCACAGAGGUCUUCAAACCUCUGAUCAGAGAAAGAUGAGGAGGAGGGUGACAGAGGCCAUAUUUCAGGGGCCUGUCCCAGCUGUUAGCAGGGAUUCCUUCUCCAUCAAGGACAGAUGGGACCAGCCCUCCAGAGUCGGGAUGGAUUGGGCACCUGGGUGGAAGCUGACACCAAGGGUGAGAAAUUCAUGUGACCCUGUCAUCGCCCAUCAGGAGACUGCCACACUCUUCUUCCUGCAGCCAGGAAAUGAAGUGACAGGUCACUAUGAGGGGCAACUGGUGACAGCCCCCCUCCAUAACAUUUAUUUAGAACUGGCAGCCCUGUCUCCUUCCAAAAGGGGCUAAGGGGCUGCUCUGACAUUUGCAGGAGGACUACUGGCUAACCAGGCCUUUCUGCAUUCAUGCCAUCAUCAAAUUCCCACAAGAACUUCCACUUCAGUGAUGAGGAAACUGAAACUCAGAGAAAUAAAGAGACUUGCUGAUGUUACCCAGCUAGUCCAAGGCAGAGAAGCCUAAGGAAUCCAGUUCCUCUGACUGUUAAUUUUUGCAGAUAUGACAGGAUGACAACAAACUGAAAUCAUAAAUCUAUCAAAGGACAGAGAGAGCAAUGUUCUUAACUUCCAGGAGAACCUUCUGAGAAGAGGAUGUACAUAAUGCAUUUAUAAUGCUGAAAAAUGAGGUCAAUAGUUUCUGAAGGGAUAUAUAAGAAGCCAUGAAUAGCACAGACCUUUGGGAGGAGAAACUGGUAUAGGGGAGGGAUAAUGAGAGAAUUUUGCAUCUCAUUCUUUUUUUUUUUUUUUUAAUUUUGCAUCUCAUUCUAUGUCUUCCUGUAGCACUGGAAUGAUUUUCCAUGAGCAUUUAAUAAGCAGAAGUAAGGGGUCAUCAACUAGUAGGAGUAUGGAUCAUUUUUCAUUGUCUUCUUGAUUUUUUUCUGAGAUAGGAAAAGAAAGA